rnacentral:rRNA from 1 species
CCCUUAGAUGUUCUGGGCCGCACGCGCGCUACACUGAUUCAUGCAACAAGUUUUGUCCUUGGCUGAUAGGCCUGGGUAAUCUUUGAACGUGAAUCGUGGUGGGGAUAGAUGAUUGCAAUUAUUCAUCUUCAACGAGGAAUUCCUAGUAAACGCAAGUCAUCAGCUUGCAUUGAUUACGUCCCUGCCCUUUGUACACACCGCCCGUCGCACCUACCGAUUGAAUGGUCCGGUGAAAUCUUCGGAUCUGAGAGAUGUCUGAUUAAUUUCGGACGCCUUUUGGAAAAGUUGUUUAAACCUUACCAUUUAGAGGAAGGUGAAGUCGUAACA